CGUAGGUGAACCUGCGGAAGGAUCAUUACAGAAAUAGGAGAAGGUUGCUUAACUGCAAUCCUUUUCUUUCUACACAUGUGUUUUUCUUUUUUUUGAAAACUUUGCUUUGGUGGGCCCACGGCCUGCCAGAGAUUAAACUCAACCAAAUUUUUAUUUAAUUGUCAACUUGAUUAACUAAUAGUCAAAACUUUCAACAACGGAUCUCUUGGUUCUCGCAUCGAUGAAGAACGCAGCGAAAUGCGAUAAGUAAUAUGAAUUGCAGAUAUUCGUGAAUCAUCGAAUCUUUGAACGCACAUUGCGCCCUUUGGUAUUCCAAAGGGCAUGCCUGUUUGAGCGUCAUUUCUCCCUCAAACCUUCGGGUUUGGUGUUGAGCGAUACGCUGGGUUUGCUUGAAAGAAAGGCGGAGUAUAAACUAAUGGAUAGGUUUUUUUUUUCCACUCAUUGGUACAAACUCCAAACAUUCUUCCAAAUUCGACCUCAAAUCAGGUAGGACUACCCGCUGAACUUAAGCAUAUCAAUAAGCGGAGGAAA
rnacentral:rRNA from 1 species